GCUGCACACCACAGGGAAGACAUGCUCCAGAAUUCCAGGCUGCUGAGUUUUUCAUUUCGCCGUCCCUCAGAGAGGCAGAAUCCGUGUGUUGGGGAAGUCUGGAGAUGCCCCUGGACUUCCCUGGGAGGUGCAACUUAAAAACAAAGAAACAAAACCGCAAAUCCAACGCCUAUCAACUGUCAGGUGUGGCCUGACAACAUCCCGAUGUCCCGUCGUAGCAGGAUUGCCCCCGCUUUGGAGGGGAGGAAACCAAGGCUCAGAGAGGAAAUGGGCGCUCCUGGUGUCCCCCGCUGGGAGUAGAACUCAAGCCUGGAGGCUCCAAGCAGCCUGUGGCCUGCUCUGGUGAGGUUUUUCGCACCUCUCCCAGGGCCUCCUUCCUCCCCGACGCAGAACAACUCGGAUCUGCUGGUCCCACGGCGUCCUCAGGUCUCAUCGGACCGUCAGUGGGCCUGGACAGCAGUGAGCAGGGCCCAGACGGCCGUUUCAGAGACAAGGGCGACACCUGCUGGAGAUAAGUGAGCACGACAUGCUAAGGCCAGGGGCGCAUUCACUGCCUGGCUUCCUUUCUCCCUUGAUGGGUGUUUAUUGAAGGCCUGCUAGAUGCAGCAUCUCCAAGGUGUCAGAGACACUGAAUGAAACCUGGUCUUUACCCCACAAGAGAUUCCCAGCCAAAUAUAGAAGGUGCAUAGCAAUAAUUGCAAUGUAAAGUAUGAAAACCAAUGGUUUUCACUUUUUCCCCGCUUUUAAUCAGUGG
rnacentral:lncRNA from 10 species